AAUCACAAGGGUUGGGAGGGUGGCCUAAUGGUUAAGGUGUUUGCCUUACAAACACAAGGUGCAGGGUUUGAGUCUCACGAGGGAUAAUUGGCUAGGCUU